GGAGAAGAUGAAACGG
rnacentral:sRNA from 1 species